CAAGUUUGAUCCUGGCUCAGGAUGAACGCUAGCGACAGGCUUAACACAUGCAAGUCGAGGGGCAGCAUGAUUUGUAGCAAUACAGAUUGAUGGCGACCGGCGCACGGGUGAGUAACGCGUAUGCAACUUACCUAUCAGAGGGGGAUAGCCCGGCGAAAGUCGGAUUAAUACCCCAUAAAACAGGGGUCCCGCAUGGGGAAUAUUUGUUAAAGAUUCAUCGCUGAUAGAUAGGCAUGCGUUCCA
rnacentral:rRNA from 1 species